UACGUAGGUGGCAAGCGUUGUCCGGAUUUACUGGGCGUAAAGAGCGCGCAGGCGGUCUUUUAAGUCGCAUGUGAAAGCCCCCGGCUCAACUGGGGAGGGUCAUUCGAUACUGCUCGACUUGAAGGCAGGAGAGGGUAGUGGAAUUCCCGGUGUAGUGGUGAAAUGCGUAGAUAUCGGGAGGAACACCAGUGGCGAAGGCGGCUCACUGGUCCAUUACUGACGCUGAGGUGCGAAAGCGUGGGGAGCAAACAGG
rnacentral:rRNA from 1 species